UACGUAGGGACCAAGCGUUGUUCGGAUUUACUGGGCGUAAAGGGAGCGUAGGCGGCAAUUCAAGUCAGUUGUGAAAUCUCCGAGCUUAACUCGGAACGGUCAACUGAUACUGCUUUGCUAGAGUACAGAAGGGGCAAUCGGAAUUCUUGGUGUAGCGGUGAAAUGCGUAGAUAUCAAGAGGAACACCUGAGGUGAAGACGGGUUGCUGGGCUGAUACUGACGCUGAGGCUCGAAAGCUAGGGUAGCAAACAGGAUUAGAUACCCUGGUAGUCC
rnacentral:rRNA from 1 species